ACCAAUUGAUUGCACACAGGGAGGUGUGUGUGGCCCCUCUACUUGGUGCUCCUCUCCACUCCUCACUGAAGAAGGCGGACGUUUACCAGAUGGACAAAAAAGAAAUCUCUCCUCCUCAACUACGACAAUUAUAUCUCAGGAUCGGUGGCACAUUCCCCUCUCCAUCGGAAGAGGUGUGACACGGACAAGUCUUGUAGUGAAUAGAAGGAAACAGGAACUCGUAGACCAGGAAUGUGAAAAGAUUUACUGCAGUAGGCAAAGCUCCAGGCCAUUAUUUUUUGUUUUUUGGGGGUUUUUUUUAGACUCACAUCCUAGUAGUUUGUGUUGACUGUCAAAAAAAGAAAAAAUGUUUAUAUAUAACAAACCAAACAUACUUAAAUCAAAACUGGGACAUUUAAUCAAAGAUUAGUAACUUGAACUGUUUGAAGAAGUCAGCAUUUGACAAACACAGGUACUAAGACCUUCUGUAGAGAAGGAACAUUUGUAUGGGGGCCGCACUUGGAUGCUUAUGUUGGUACUGUCAGCCCAAAAUGUACCAGAAACUGCUAAAUAUUUCCACUGUACUUUACCAUAUGCCAUCUUGAAUGGAGUGUAAAUGGGUAGUGCAUGCAUAUACUGCCCCUGUAAUAAGCUAUCCUACUUAGUAA